rnacentral:rRNA from 2 species
GGAUGCGAUCAUACCAGCACUAAAGCAUCGGAUCCCAUCAGAACUCCGAAGUUAAGCGUGCUUGGGCGAGAGUAGUACUAGGAUGGGUGACCUCCUAGGAAGUCCUCGUGUUGCAUUCC